UACGGGGGGGGCAAGCGUUGUUCGGAAUUACUGGGCGUAAAGGGCUCGUAGGCGGCCAACUAAGUCAUACGUGAAAUCCCUCGGCUUAACCGGGGAACUGCGUCUGAUACUGGAUGGCUUGAGUUCGGGAGAGGGAUGCGGAAUUCCAGGUGUAGCGGUGAAAUGCGUAGAUAUCUGGAGGAACACCGGUGGCGAAGGCGGCAUCCUGGACAGAUACUGACGCUGAGGAGCGAAAGCCAGGGGAGCAAACGGG
rnacentral:rRNA from 1 species